rnacentral:rRNA from 1 species
UUGCUCUUCAACGAGGAAUUCCUAGUAAGCGCAAGUCAUCAGCUUGCGCUGAUUACGUCCCUGCCCUUUGUACACACCGCCCGUCGCUACUACCGAUUGAAUGGCUAAGUGAGGCCUUUGGACCGGCCCAGAGAGGGUGGCAACACCCACUCAGGGCUGGAAAAUCGUACAAACUUGGUCAUUUAGAGGAAGUAAAAGUCGUAACAAGGUUUCCGUAGGUGAACCUGCGGAAGGAUCAUUAAUAGAGCAAUGGAUAGACAGCGCCCCGGGAGAAAUCCUGGGGGCCACCCGACUUCGGUAGGGUUUAGAGUCGUCAGGCCUCUCGGAGAAGCCUGGUCCAGACCUCCACCCUUGAAUAAAUUACCUUUGUUGCUUUGGCAGGGCGCCCCGCGCCAGCGGCUUCGGCUGUUGAGUACCUGCCAGAGGACCACAACUCUUGUUUUUAGUGAUGUCUGAGUACUAUAUAAUAGUUAAAACUUUCAACAACGGAUCUCUUGGUUCUGGCAUCGAUGAAGAACGCAGCGAAAUGCGAUAAGUAAUGUGAAUUGCAGAAUUCAGUGAAUCAUCGAAUCUUUGAACGCACAUUGCGCCCUCUGGUAUUCCGGGGGGCAUGCCUGUUCGAGCGUCAUUAUAACCACUCAAGCUCUCGCUUGGUAUUGGGGUUCGCGGUUUCGCGGCCUCUAAAAUCAGUGGCGGUGCCUAUCGGCUCUACGCGUAGUAAUACUCCUCGCGUCUGGGUCCGGUAGGUCUACUUGCCAACAACCCCCAAUUUUUUACAGGUUGACCUCGGAUCAGGUAGGGAUACCCGCUGAACUUAAGCAUAUCAAUAAGCGGAGGA